UGUGGGAGCGGGCUUGCUCGCGAAAGCGGUGUGUCAGCCAAAUAUUUUUGACUGACACACCGCUUUCGCGAGCAAGCCCGCUCCCACA
rnacentral:antisense_RNA from 1 species